AUUGAGCGCUGGCGGAAUGCUUUACACAUGCAAGUCGAACGAUGAACCUUAGCUUGCUCCGGGGAUUAGUGGCGAACGGGUGAGUAAUAUAUCGGAACGUGCCUUGUAAUGGGGGAUAACUAGUCGAAAGAUUAGCUAAUACCGCAUACGCCCUGAGGGGGAAAGUAGGGGAUCUUCGGACCUUACGUUAUAAGAGCGGCCGAUAUCUGAUUAGCUAGUUGGUGGGGUAAUGGCCUACCAAGGCGACGAUCAGUAGCUGGUCUGAGAGGACGACCAGCCACACUGGAACUGAGACACGGUCCAGACUCCUACGGGAGGCAGCAGUGGGGAAUUUUGGACAAUGGGCGCAAGCCUGAUCCAGCCAUGCCGCGUGAGUGAAGAAGGCCUUCGGGUUGUAAAGCUCUGUCGCAAGGGAAGAAAACUUACCAUCGAAUAAAUGGUGAGGCUGACGGUACCUUGACAAGAAGCACCGGCUAACUACGUG
rnacentral:rRNA from 1 species